rnacentral:lncRNA from 1 species
GCAAAGACCUCGAUCUAAACCGCACGCUCAACAAUUAAUGGCUACUUUCAACAUUUUGCAAGACCUGAUUAUGUGUCCGUACAGUGAGCACCACAAUGCCAAAAGAGGGCGGCUAAGUAUACACGUGUUGACGGGACGGUUGCCAGCUCCAAUAAAAGCCAUGCCCCUUCAAUUCUAACCAUGACGCGCCCGCUGAACCGGAUGGCCAUCUCCAGCACCUGGAUACCUGCCCAGACAAAACAACAAUGUUGCUGUGCACGCAGACCAGCGACGACCCUCCUUAUGAGUUGCCAGCGCCAGGAGUUCCACAGCGCCAGGAGGUUCACAACCUUUUCAUCAUGAGCCCGAGGGCUCAUCAUGAGCCCUCUGCUGACUGUCCAAGCUGAGGUCGUGACUGGCGAGCGUCAUGGCACCUGGGACAAGGCUCGGGUCGGCCAUCCCUUUGGCGCUGAGGUCACCCACCCGACCGGUAAUCUGGGGGCUGCGCGAGCCUUGGCCGACCACCCUCGGGCUGUUCAGACCUCAACAAUUUAAGACUAGAGUGCCCCGGCAACACGAGGAAGCAUAAAGUGGAAGCCCUUGUGCGAAGGCUUAUGGCGUUUGGCCGUGCUUACUAGCAGCAAAGCUUCGACGAGGCCUAAAGAUACCUCAAUAAAGGAUCUUUUAUAUGCAGG